rnacentral:rRNA from 1 species
AGAGUUUGAUCCUGGCUCAGGACGAACGCUGACGGUGUGCUUUAGACAUGCAAGUCGAACGAGAAAGCCCUUCGGGGUGAGUACAGUGGCGAACGGGUGAGUAACACGUGGGCAAUCUGCCCCUCGCAGGGGGACAACCGGGGGAAACUCCGGCUAAUACCCCGUACGCUUGCGGAGCCGCAUGGCUCUGUAAGGAGAGGUAGCUUCGGCCAUCCGGCGAGGGAUGAGCCCGCGGUACAUUAGCUAGUUGGUGGGGUAACGGCCCACCAAGGCGACGAUGUAUAGCUGGUCUGAGAGGAUGAUCAGCCACACUGGGACUGAGACACGGCCCAGACUCCUACGGGAGGCAGCAGUCGGGAAUCUUGCGCAAUGGGCGAAAGCCUGACGCAGCAACACCGUGUGAGCGAUGAAGGCCUUCGGGUCGUAAAGCUCUGUUGUUGGGGACGAAGGGCGAGGGGUUAAUAGCCCCGAGCUUGACGGUACCCUUCGAGGAAGCCCCGGCUAACUACGUGCCAGCAGCCGCGGUAAUACGUAGGGGGCGAGCGUUGUCCGGAAUUAUUGGGCGUAAAGAGCGUGUAGGCGGUUCGGUAAGUCUGCUGUGAAAACCCAGGGCUCAACCCUGGGCGUGCAGUGGAUACUGCCGGGCUAGAGGGUGGUAGAGGCGAGUGGAAUUCCCAGUGUAGCGGUGAAAUGCGCAGAUAUUGGGAGGAACACCAGUAGCGAAGGCGGCUCGCUGGGCCAUUCCUGACGCUGAGACGCGAAAGCUAGGGGAGCGAACAGGAUUAGAUACCCCCGUAGUCC